UAAAAUUAAAAUUUGGCCUAUGAAAUAAAAAUAUUAAAAAUUGGCCACUUUUUGUGUAAAAGUACAAAAUUUUCCCUUACAUUGAAAUUUUAAAAAAUGGCCACUUUCCUCUUUAUCUCUCUCAAGCUUCACAAUCUCACAAUUUCGAUUUCGACUCUCUCUCUCUCUCUCUCUCUCUCUCUCUCCACCAUCUUCUUCGUCGUCGUCCCAUCGCGCCGCCCCUCCGGUUGCAAAUCGUCGUCGCGCACUGCCGCCGUCACGUAAGGUUCAUCUUCUUCGUCGCGCACUCUCCGGAGCUCACUCCGCAUCUCCACCGGCUACGCCACCGCAGAGAGAACCAGGACCCCGCGAGCGGUCCGCCGAGGAGCUCCACCGAAAUAAGCUCGGCGGUGGUUUUAGAUCUUACGGCGGCGGUUCCAGAGACGAGCAGCCGGUGCGUCAGGGGAGCUUCAAUCGGGAAUCUGAUCGUGAAUUAGAGCCUUCUAGGGCUGACGAGACUGAUGAUUGGGGUGAAAAUAAGAAACCGUCUGGGGGUACUGGAUUUGAUAGGAGAGAUAGGGAAGAGCGAGGGGGUUCGCGAUAAUUCUCCUUUUUAUUUUUCCAAUUUCAGACAUCUUUGUUUUUAACUUAAUUACUAGAUUCUGAACUUGAGUUUUGGAUGGAAAAUUGAUAGAUUUUCCUCUGUUUCUGUAUAUUAUUAUUUGAAUUAAAUAGCUGCCAUUUUUUGUUUGUGUGAUUGAAAGUUUGCUUCAUAGUUGUUUCGCGAAGUUCUAUGUGAUAAUUGAAAGUUUGUUUCAUAGUUGUUUCGCGAAGUUCUAUGUGAUAAUUGAAAGUUUGCUUCAUUGCAGUUGAUUAAUUGAUUCUAAGCGACGCAAUUGCUUCGCGAAAUUUUG
rnacentral:lncRNA from 1 species